GGGGAGGAGAGGAGGCCCUAGGCCUGGACCCCCUUGCACCACUUUGGGUCAGGAGAUACUGGGCCUGGACUGCCUUCCACUGCCGGGCGGGGAUGGGAGGCUCCAGGCGGCCGCGCUUUUUCCAGUCCGCGGUCCCCACCGGCCGGUUCCCCUCUUCCCCCCACUUCGAGGCCUGCAAUUGUCUGCUGUACUGGCUCCCAGUGCUGAAAGCUAUUAUGAGAAAUACCACUGCGAUGAGUCUUCACAUACAAGUGUGUGCACCAUUUGACGGUCCCACCAGCAGCAUGAGAGAGUUCCAGUGUCUCCACAUCCUCGUCAACACUCACUACCUGACUUUUUGGGUCUAGCUCUCCAGGCCAGGAAGCCGAACCAAAUCCACCUCCCUCAGGUGUGCCCGCGGGACCUGUGUGUGUGCAAGUUUCUAUCUUCCAGAAGGUUCCAGUGUCUGCCAUGGCUCUUGGCCUGCCAGGAAGUAUCCUUCUUACUACUUGUGAGGCUGAGGCUUUGUGUGCCAGAGUACAGGUGCCCGGCCAGUAUGGGUCUGAGGGUUGUGUGGGCAUUGGUUCAGCACACAAGCCACAACCCUUGUUCCUUAAAGGUGGGCGUGUUGUGGAAGCACAGGAAAGUUAUUCUCAAAUAUGACACCCAUGUAAGGCCUGGGCUCCACUAUUAAUUUGUCUGAUUAUAUCCUGGUGACAAGGAGGACAAAUUUCUACUGCAACAAUGCAAAUUACUACGUUUUUAUUAAAAGUAAAUGUCAGUAAAACUAUUUUUCCUGAAUUCUGAAGUGAGAAAAACACCAUUUAAAGAACGUUUUAAUGUUUGUGAAAGGAUAGUCUCCUAAAGUAGAUUGUUGCAGAUACCGGGUAAAAAUAAAAAUUAAAUAAAUUAAAGGUGAGAUAGAUCAAAGAAGAAGGGUUUUGUCUUAUUCCUGCCAGAAACAGAAUAUCAGAAACAACAUGAGCAUCCUCCUCCUUGCCUUUUCUUGGGCUGUGCUUUCAGCCUGCAGAUAUAACCAUUCUGGAGAGCAGUGAUGCCCCCAGAACCGCAUUUUUGGCUGGUGCAAAAUGGGGGGCAGUGGUUGUGUCUGGGGCCAAGUUUCUGUCCUGUAUAGCCUAGAGAUGGUUAUGUAGCGGGGGACUGAGCUACUAAGUGAAGGCAUAGAUAGUUAUGUAGAAACAGAGGAGGGUAGAAUCAACUCCAUGCUAGAUUGUAACUGGAGGUACAGGUAUCAGUAUGAACUCAAGGUUUGCUAAGAGGUAUCAGAAAAGAUAUGGGUGUGUGUGUGUGUGUGUGUGUGUGUGUGUGUGUGUGUGUGUGUGUGUUUGUACAUACUUAUUUCCUAGCUCUGUCUGCUGAGUGUAAAUGGAAUCAUAUUCUGUAAUCUUUUGAGAUUUCUUUCUUCCAUUUAAAAUUAUGUGUUUGAGAUUUGGCCGUGUUGGUGGUGGAAUUCAUUCAUUUCUGUUGCUGUGUGCUAUUCCAUUGCGUGGAUACACCUCACUUUGUCCAUUUUACCGUCCUUUGAUAUUUAAGAUUUCUCCCAGUAUUUGCUAUUAAAAACAGCGUUAAAAUAAAAAAAAAAAAACACCAAAAA
rnacentral:lncRNA from 1 species